AAAAGAUCUGAUAUUUUUACUUGUAUGUUUUGGUCCCAUAGGUGUGCUGUUUUUGGAGAUAGCUCCUCCUGGUGUCACCUAGAAGUUGGUUCUCUCCACUGUGUCUCAGGUUUAG